rnacentral:lncRNA from 15 species
UUGUUUUUUUUUUUUUUUUACCACAAACAAUGCACGUUCGUACGAGUGUGCUGAGUAUCCCAAAUUCCUACCAUCACCGUAGUCCGUGAACGCAACAUAAGAGCCGCCCCGCUCUACCGGAUUUCAGCCGGUAGUUAGUCGGUCUUUGCCAGUGACAGCCAUCCUUUAAACCCCCAGUACCCCCCGGAUUGUCCACCUGGCUCACAUCUGCACAUUUUGUUAUGACAAGGUGUGAUGAAGCGGAAAGUAAACGAUAUUUAGGAGCAGUCUAAAUGACUGAUGUGCAACAGGCAACUGGGCUAUAUAAACUCACUGAAGGCUCAUCGGCUUUGGAGGAACUGUUGCACAAAAUCCCGCUGCGAUGUCCCUGCUGUGUGUCAGAGUGAAAAAAGCCAAACUACAUGGGCCCCCAGCUGUUCAUCCCACCUUCCCUUCAGGCGAUGAUGAGGGGAGAACAACAGCAACGAGUGGGAGAAUGAAAAGUCAAGCCAGAGGAGGAGGGAAGGAAAUCAAUAGAUCAUCACAGACAAAGGGCCACCUGCUAGCCUGAAAUGAUAACUUGUCAUCCCGGCAUAAAGGAGAAGAUGGAGACAAAUCCCUCAGUGUCUUUAUGAGACAGAGACAGACUCCAGAUACAGGAGAUGAUUUGUCAUUGGCUGCCUCUGGCCUUCGAUCACAGGGCAGAUUUUCAGAGCGGAAGGAGGAGAUUUGAUUGGCUUCCCCAGGGUUCAUAAAACAGGACAUGAGUGAUGGUGUUGCUACUUUAGAAAUGCCCUUAAUUCAUUUAUUCUGUAGUUCUUCUGAAUUACUACUGCUAGCAAUUCUCCCUUUGAAUGUUAUACAGUUAAACUAAUUUGCAAUACCAAGUAAAUUGCACAGUUGACUGUAAAAGGAAACUCCAAUGGUUUUCAGUCUAAGACCUUCUUUGUAACUUGAAACUCCUUGAGUAGUGGCUACUUGAUAUGGUAUAUCCUUUAGCCAAAUAAUAGGCAUUAGAAGAGAUUAAAAUCUUUUAGCACUUAUCAAAACCAGGAAUUCCAAAGUGUUUUCUGAGAAGCAACAUCCUGGUCAUGGUUUGUUCAUGCAAACAUCCUAUCCUGGUUCCAGAAAACUAGUUUGUCCUGGUUUUGAGAAAUCAGACUUUAUCCAGGUUUCUGAUUACAAUAGCCAUUCUUUAUGGCUGAGAAAAGGGAACUAAGUGCCACUACUUACUAAAGCUAAUGAAUGCUUUAAAUGUCAGAAAUAGAACCGCUUUAACUGUAACUGUAACUAAUAAAACCAAAAACGCCAUUGCUCCAUGCUUGGCCACAAAACAGUAGAGCGGUGUGUGUUUUCUGACAUCUAUAAAUUAUUGUAAAAAUUAAUAAAUGGCAGCAUUUUUUGCUUGUUUGUUAUUGUUAAUUAUAUGUCCAAAAAGUUCAAGCUAUAUGAUUUAAAUAUAUGGAUUCAUGUGUGUUAAAUCAGUGCCAGGUCACUAAUGUCUUGAAGUAUGUAUGAAUGUUUAAAAAAAACUUCCAUGCAGUUCCCUGCUGUUAAAAUCUUUAACUGAACUGUUGAAUCUGUGGAGAAGCAGAGAGUGAUGAACAUUAAGGCAGUCCAAAGUGGACUCAUCCAAAUCAGGUUACAAGGAUUAAACAAGCAAGCAGGAAAAUUAAAACAUUGGGAAUAGAAAAAAAGAAAUAAAAAAAAAAGAACUGCUGUAAGUACAAAAAAUAAGUUGAGAAUUUACAAUAGGUAGACCUAUACAAUGUACAAGAAACACACGAGACCCAGUCCUUGUCAUUAAUUCUCCAUGUCGGUGUCUGCAAGGUUGUAACCAUUAUCCCCUCAGUCGAAAAAUGAAAUUUGCCAUCUUUCACCAUUGAACAGUCUGAUAAACAAUUUUGCAGAGUUAGAAUUGCCUAAGCGAGAUAACCAAGUUGAGUGUUUUUAUUUUAGUGCUAAAUUACAUUGCAGUCCUCUUAUUAUAAAUCGCCUGACACAUAUAGGAAAUGUCUGGAAAUGUUCUUAACCUAAAACAACACACCUACUUUUCCUCAGGGCUUUAACACCCAGUCAAGUGAUAGCAAGUAUACCCAGAAUGCAGUUCUGUCAUGUGACAUGAUUAUUAGUCUCAGGUCAGACACAACUAGUAGACUUUGUCCCACUCUAAUGCCCCAGUUUAGGAAACAUGAUCUGAUUUAUCUUAAUAGUAAGAAGCAAUAGAUUAUUUGCCUCCGGGAGCUGGCUGCUGUCCCAAGGCCCUCCUGAAACCCCAGUGGUCGACGACCCCUGAGAGAUAUAUCGGCUGGUAUAUGUGUCACUUUAUUAGUUUAUAAGAUUUAAGGCACAUUACCCUGUUUUAAGACAUGCUAUCAAAGCUGUGAGCCAACCUACAACUGCUGGAUUUAAUACAGA